GACGAACGCUGGCGGCGUGCUUAACACAUGCAAGUCGAACGGUAAGGCCCUUCGGGGUACACGAGUGGCGAACGGGUGAGUAACACGUGGGUGAUCUGCCCUGCACUUCGGGAUAAGCCUGGGAAACUGGGUCUAAUACCGGAUAGGACCACUGCCUGCAUGGGUGGUGGCGGAAAGCUUUUGCGGUGUGGGAUGAGCCCGCGGCCUAUCAGCUUGUUGGUGGGGUGAUGGCCUACCAAGGCGACGACGGGUAGCCGGCCUGAGAGGGUGACCGGCCACACUGGGACUGAGAUACGGCCCAGACUCCUACGGGAGGCAGCAGUGGGGAAUAUUGCACAAUGGGCGCAAGCCUGAUGCAGCGACGCCGCGUGAGGGAUGGCGGCCUUCGGGUUGUAAACCUCUUUCAGCACCGACGAAGCGCAAGUGACGGUAGGUGCAGAAGAAGGACCGGCCAACUACGUGCCAGCAGCCGCCGUAA
rnacentral:rRNA from 1 species